GAGGGUAUAGCUGAGUGGUAGAGCAUGUGCUUAGCGUGCAUGAGGUCCUGGGUUUGAUCCCCAGUCCCUCCA
rfam:Camelus ferus unplaced genomic scaffold scaffold109, whole genome shotgun sequence.